AUUGAAGUUAGAUAGGAGCAGGAAGCCCCGGUGUGGCAUCCCUCAGCAAGAGAGUCAUUAAGUAUCAUCUAUCUAAAAGGGUUAGGAGAAAGGAUGCUGAGGUUGGGUAUGUUAUCCUUGGCUACAUUACCAGUUUGAGGCCAGCCUGUGCUACAGGAAUUUCUGUUAUGCGUAUACAAAAAGGUUAAACACUUUGCAUAUAUGGACAAAGAUAGGUUUAACUUGACUACAGGACAUAAAUAUGAAUGGAAACAGCAUUGCAUUGGUAUCCCUUGCAUUUGCACAGUUUUGUGGGGUUUUUGCAUCUGUUGACAAUUUAACUUAAAAUGUGAAGUCCUGUCGCCAUGCAGCAGCUCAGCCUCAGCCUUCCAUUGCCCACUCCGUACUCAUCACACCAAGGAACUCUUGCAGGUAAUCCAGGA
rnacentral:lncRNA from 1 species